rnacentral:rRNA from 1 species
ACAACUUUCAACAAUGGAUCUCUUGGCUCUCGCAUCGAUGAAGAACACAGCGAAAUGUGAUAAGUAAUGUGAAUUGCAGAAUCCAGUGAAUCAUCGAAUCUUUGAACGCAUCUUGCGCUCCUUGGUAUUCUGAGGAGCAUGCCUGUUUGAGUGUCAUUAAA